AUUCAAAACUACGUAGAUUUAAGGUUGGGUGAACUUAACAAACCUAAAGCACUCAUCUGUUUUGCACCGCCGCCCCUCGCUCCUUGAAGUUUCGAUCCCUUUCUUCCCUCUCAUUCAGUCGGUCACCAUUUUUGGGUGGAGAUUGACUAUUCCGGAGUUCAACGGCCUAGGCGCGACGCUUGGUGAGCAAGUGUCUUGCCGUCGAGCCUAGUUGCUGCUUUCCUUCACAAAGCUCGUCUUUCAAAUUCUGUCCAUCCACGACAUCUAAGAAGGAAGAAGGUUAGAUUUCAAGAUUCAGGCUCACUCAUGAGACAUCAUUUGUAAAAAGCUGCUCAAAUUUUUAGACGAAAACGGCAGCCCUCUUUUACAUUGCCUGUUGUUAGUCUUGGUUAUCCUCUGAUACCAAUCUGGUCAUAUGCGAAGCUUAUUCUCACAUGCUGGUUGGUGAUCCCAUACUUCAGUGGCGCUGCAUAUGUUUAUGAGCACUUUGUGAGACCUCUCUUUGUUAACCCACAACAAACCAUUAAUAUAUGGUAUGUCCCAAGAAAGCAGGAUGUCUUCAGAAAGCCAGCUGACAUUUUAAUUACUGCUGAGAGUUACAUUGAAGAAAAUGGGACUGAAGCAUUGGAGAAGCUCAUUCACAGGGCUGAUGUGUCCAAGAGUAGCAGUUACCCAAACACAAUCUUCAAUGAGGACUAUAGAUAUUAAGGAUGUUCAUGAUAGAGCCUUGUUCUAAUACAGACUAUUGCAAUACAAUGUGUCAAUUGCAGAACGUGUUGUGAAUCCUCCAAAGCAACCUGUUCUGUCUUUGCUGAUACUCAUAGCAGUGAAAUAAAAGAUCGCAUUUUUUAUGAAUUUAAUAGCCUCUUUGUGGUGUACCAAAAGCCAUCUUGCGCGUUCACUGAUGAAGAACACCGGGGACCAUUUGAGUUUUCAGAUAAGCUUGGCAACUUAUCUACUGGGGCAGAAUCUACAAAUGAUGUUGUACGAGCAAAUAGAGUUGAGGCAAAUGACAAGGAUCUGCUCCUAAGUACUUCAGAGAAAGAAGAAAGUAGAGGUGCCAGUAAUAAUGGCUAAAUAAACAAAUAAACAGAUGGUGUGAGGCACACUAUUUUUGAGUCAAUCUAAGGUUCUCCGUCAGGAGAUAUAAAAGCCACUUUUACCUCAUUUUGCUGCAAGUAGAAGAAGAAAAAGGAUUGGAAAAAGGAAGGAAAAGCAUAUCAAGAGUUGACACUUCCAUUUUUGGAUCAAGAUUUGGAUUAUUCUUCUUUUAUUCACAUUUUCUAAUACUUCUUUUAUCGGAUUUCUGUAGUUUUACUGUAUUUUAAUGAUUUAUUUCAUCUUUUGUUUAGAAUUUAUUAUACAAAAUCUAGAUAGUGAGUAAUAUUUUAAAAUUUUGGAGUUGGGUAUAUAAUAUUUAA